CAGAGCUGUGAUGGCUGUGGUGAUGAGCCUGAGGAAUGCUGCUGGCAUUGAGAGCUCUCUGCUGUGUCACACAUUCCUGUGUUUUGCAGUCACAUUAGGAUCUGAAGGAAUUAGCCCCAGGAAAGCUCAGAGUUUAUUUCAGACUGGGGAGAGCUACUAAGAACACAGCUGAGUACAAGUACAAAGAAGUCACAAGAAGAGAAGAAUUGUUAUUUUCCACAUGUGAUUUCGCACACCUUCCAGAUCUGGCACCACCACCCCAGUGAUCUUGCACACCUCUUCAUCAGUCUUCUCAGUUCAAUGGGUAGCUGGUAGAAUCAUCCUCAGACUCAGAAAAGAUUAACCCAUCCAUACAAAGGAUAAAUCUAAAUUGCCUGAAGUUUUCUAUUAUCAAGUCAUCACGGUUGCUUUUUGUGUCCUGAGAAAUGAGGGGAUCAUCCACCUUGUCUUGCUCAGAGGGUGUCAGUGACCUGUGUUCAAAAGCCUGAGAAAUCUCUGCCCUAUGAUGUGCCAUUGGGGUAGUACCACUGCAUGAGGACAAGCAGACUGCCAACAUUACCUUUAAACUGGAUGAGAAAGCCCUUUUGGAUUCACUGAAAGUACACACAACUUCCUAUCGCAGGCUGAAUAAUCAGCUCAAAGUCAGAUUGUUAUUUCAGGUAACAAACAGUAGGAGGAAAAGAUACAUAGCCUACAUUGCUGAUACAGUCCAAAAUAGUAUACAUAUUAGAGUGCAUGCGGGUGUUCAUGGUUGUUUUGGGAACAUGCAUGACAGACAUCGGAUAUUAUGGGUCAUUAAGAAGAAAUUAAUUAGAAAUUAAUGACCAAUAAAAUAUUGUCAAGCAAGUCUGGUUAAUCACA